ACAGAGGUGUCAAGCGUUGUUCGGAUUUACUGGGCGUAAAGGGACCGUAGGCGGUUUGAAGAGUUGGAUGUGAAAUCCCACAAAUCAACUGUGGAAUGGCAUUCAAAACUAUCAGGCUCGAGUACUGUAGGGGAGAAAGGAAUUCUUGGUGUAUGGGUGAAAUGGGUAGAUAUCAAGAGGAACACCGGUGGUGAAGGCGGCUUUCUGGAUAGAUACUGACGCUGAGGGUCUAAAGUUAGGGGAGCAAACAG
rnacentral:rRNA from 1 species